rnacentral:rRNA from 1 species
CACGCCGUAAACGAUGAUCACUAGACGUUAGUUUUGCAUUGCAAAAUUAGUGUCGUAGCUAACGCGUUAAGUGAUCCGCCUGGGGNAGGAACCUUACCUAGGCUUGACAUGUUUUUGACAGUUGUAGAAAUACAAUCUUCCGGAUUUCGGUUCGGACAAUUACACAGGUGC